UACGAAGGGGGCUAGCGUUGUUCGGAUUUACUGGGCGUAAAGCGCACGUAGGCGGAUCGUUAAGUGAGGGGUGAAAUCCCAGGGCUCAACCCUGGAACUGCCUUUCAUACUGGCGAUCUUGAGUCCGGAAGAGGUGAGUGGAACUCCUAGUGUAGAGGUGGAAUUCGUAGAUAUUCGGAGGAACACCAGUGGCGAAGGCGGCUCACUGGCUCGGUACUGACGCUGAGGUGCGAAAGCGUGGGGAGCAAACAGG
rnacentral:rRNA from 1 species